GUAGGUGGCAAGCGUUGUCCGGAAUUAUUGGGCGUAAAGCGCGCGCAGGCGGUUCUUUAAGUCUGAUGUGAAAGCCCACGGGCUCAACCGUGGAGGGUCAUUGGAAACUGGAGAACUUGAGUACAGAAGACGAAAGCGGAAUUCCACGUGUAGCGGUGAAAUGCGUAGAGUUGUGGAGGAACACCAGUGGCGAAGGCGGCUUUCUGGUCUGUAACUGACGCUGAGGCGCGAAAGCGUGGGGAGCAAACAGGAUUAGAUACCCUGGUAGUCCACGCCGUAAACGAUGAGUGCUAAGUGUUAGGGGGUUUCCGCCCCUUAGUGCUGCAGCUAACGCAUUAAGCACUCCGCCUGGGGAGUACGGCCGCAAAGGCUG
rnacentral:rRNA from 1 species